UACGGAGGGGGCUAGCGUUGUUCGGAAUUACUGGGCGUAAAGCGCACGUAGGCGGCUUUGUAAGUUAGAGGUGAAAGCCCGGAGCUCAACUCCGGAAUUGCCUUUAAGACUGCAUCGCUUGAAUCAUGGAGAGGUGAGUGGAAUUCCGAGUGUAGAGGUGAAAUUCGUAGAUAUUCGGAAGAAACACCAGUGGCGAAGGCGACUCACUGGACAUGUAUUGACGCUGAGGUGCGAAAGCGUGGGGAGCAAACAGG
rnacentral:rRNA from 1 species